GCCUGGCUGGCUUAUUUGGUAGAGCAUGUGACUCUUGGCAUGGGUUCAAACCCCAUACUGGGUA
rnacentral:tRNA from 1 species